rnacentral:ncRNA from 1 species
UGCGGUCACAAAAUCCAUUGAAUUUCGAACGCUGGCUUUACUAACGGCCCCAAGGGGCGAACAAGUCACCUCUGUGAUUUGUAAGUAAUUU